rnacentral:lncRNA from 1 species
GCGAUAUUUAACGGAAGUUGAGCAAGUGAAGAACCUGGGAGAGCAGCUUCGAUGCCUUUGCUGAGGGGUGACGUACUUCACGUUGCUCCCUUUCCGUCUGCUUUGUACAUCCUGUAAACUACCUGCCUACCGACUCGCCUCCUUUCCUUCCGCCCCCGCACCUACCGGUUCCUCGUUACCAUUUUCUCUGCCCCGAAGUCCUCGGUCUCGCUCAACCUGCUCCUCCUCCUCCUCUGUCCUCCAUUCAGUUUAGGGUGCCGCUUGCCAGAAACCCAGAAUUGUUGCCAACUCGUCUUUCUCUGUCAUCUCUCCUGUAGUUUUUGCAAAUCUCUUGUUUCUCUCCACUGUAGUAGUGAUAAUGAUCACAUUGAUAGUGGUGAUGAUAAAGAUAGUUACUGUUUAUAUGUGUAGGGUUAUAUAUCUAUUAUAUGUAAUAGAUAUAAAAUAUAUAUUAUUUUAAACAUAUAUUCUGUAUUGAGUUUUAGGUGAAAAGCGCUUAAAACAGUUUGGUUUUUGGGCCAGGGGAGCAUUGCCAUUUAAAAACUGCUUUCAGUUUAUAAUGCAGGGAACUUUCAGAUCAUCUUUAUAGCAGAACCCUUUGAGGGGGCCCCUUUCCUUUGUAUGGAUGUAAGGAGUGUCACAAUUUGUGUGCUCAAGACUUGGUCAUCCUGAGUUUCUAAAGAGAUACACAAAGAGGAGAGGAACCUGAGUUGCCUCAAGAAGAUGAUGGGAGAGUGAAGGGCUUUCAUGGACUUCUCUAAAAUACAGUCACAGAACCUGUGUCUUCUUCCUCUGUGAGUCAUCUUCAGGGACGAACAGUGGUGUCUCUCUUCUCUUUGAUUUACUGCCAUGAAGUUUGGGCGAUGCUGUAAUACCUUGUUUGUAUGAAGAAACUUCCAAUCCCCAGAGUGACCAAGAGAGGAAUUUCCAGUGGGAUGCUGGCAUCAUUUAAUGGCUGGCUCUCCAGAGACAAAAAGCUCUCUGCUGAUUUCCAUGUUAGUUUACAAUGUUACUUUUAUAUUGAAAAUCAUCAUGAUAUCUACAUGAUAUCUACAUUGCCACAUCUAAAUAGCGAUCCACGGGCAAGUGAUGCAUGCAGAGCCUCCGAAAGACCAAACUGCCACCCUCCAAUGCUCCAGGCCCCCAGCUGCAGAUCAGCCUUCUGGUCCCACACACUGCGGGUCACUGGCUCAGAGCAAUGGUUAUCAUCAAAAGAGAUUAAUAAGAAGACAUUGACUUCUACUGAGAUAGAU